UGCGCGAGUGGCGGAAUGGCAGACGCGCUGGCUUCAGGUGCCAGUGUCCCUUGGGACGUGGAGGUUCAACUCCUCUCUCGCGCACAAC
rnacentral:tRNA from 2 species